CAACCCCUCAAGCUUUAGCUUGGUGUUGGGCCGUGCCACUGCCCUCGCGGCGCCGGCAGGCCUUAAAAUCAGUGGCGGUGCCCGCUGUGGUUCCAAGCGUAGUAAUCUCUCUCGCUCUGGAGACCUGGCGGCUGCUUGCCAGACAACCCCAUCUUCUCAAA
rnacentral:misc_RNA from 1 species